rnacentral:rRNA from 1 species
GACGAACGCUGGCGGCGUGCCUAAUACAUGCAAGUCGAGCGGAUGGAAGGAAGCUUGCUUCCUAAAGUCAGCGGCGGACGGGUGAGUAACACGUGGGCAACCUGCCCCUAAGAUCGGGAUAACUUCGGGAAACCGGAGCUAAUACCGGAUAUGAUUAUGUCUCACAUGAGACAUAAUGGAAAGACGGUUUCGGCUGUCACUUAGGGAUGGGCCCGCGGCGCAUUAGCUAGUUGGUGAGGUAACGGCUCACCAAGGCGACGAUGCGUAGCCGACCUGAGAGGGUGAUCGGCCACACUGGGACUGAGACACGGCCCAGACUCCUACGGGAGGCAGCAGUAGGGAAUCUUCCGCAAUGGACGAAAGUCUGACGGAGCAACGCCGCGUGAGUGAAGAAGGUUUUCGGAUCGUAAAACUCUGUUGUUAGGGAUGAACAAGUACCAUAGUAACUGAUGGUACCUUGACGGUACCUAACCAGAAAGCCACGGCUAACUACGUGCCAGCAGCCGCAGUAAGAC